rnacentral:rRNA from 1 species
GAAAGCUUGCUUUCUUGCUGACGAGUGGCGGACGGGUGAGUAAUGCUUGGGAAUCUGGCUUAUGGAGGGGGAUAACGACGGGAAACUGUCGCUAAUACCGCGUAUCAUCGGAAGAUGAAAGUGCGGGACUGAGAGGCCGCAUGCCAUAGGAUGAGCCCAAGUGGGAUUAGGUAGUUGGUGGGGUAAAUGCCUACCAAGCCUGCGAUCUCUAGCUGGUCUGAGAGGAUGACCAGCCACACUGGAACUGAGACACGGUCCAGACUCCUACGGGAGGCAGCAGUGGGGAAUAUUGCGCAAUGGGGGGAACCCUGACGCAGCCAUGCCGCGUGAAUGAAGAAGGCCUUCGGGUUGUAAAGUUCUUUCGGUAUUGAGGAAGGUUGAUGUGUUAAUAGCACAUCAAAUUGA